UUUUUCUUUCCAAAAAGACUGGUUACAAUCUGAUCUUAGCAUGACUUUGGUUAGGAAGACUUCCUUAUACCACCUAAAAUCAUGAAGCUUGGGACACUUAAGGUUGGUUAAGAGAUCUGCAGUUUUAUCUUUAAUUUUUGCAGGAUCUCCAAUGAAGUGCUUGGAUAUUGAGUAGAUUAGAGUAGCCACUGCAUCCUCUAUAUCUUGGCCAUCUUCGUCCUUAACAACUUCACUAUUCUCAUUAAUCCUAUAGGCUUUUAGGAUACUAUUUCUAUCAUCAAAAGUGAGAUAAUUAUCCCACCAACCCUUAAGCUGACCUGUAAACCCAGCAACAAUGGUCUGAGCUACA
rnacentral:lncRNA from 1 species